AUUGAACGCUGGCGGCAGGCCUAACACAUGCAUCGACGUACAAGUGGCGGACGGGUGAGUAACACGUGGGAACGUGCCUUUAGGUUCGGAAUAACUCAGGGAAACUUGUGCUAAUACCGAAUGCCUUUAGCGGGGCCCGGGUCUGAUUAGCUAGUUGGUGAGGUAAAGGCUAACCAAGGCGACGAUCAGUAGCUGGUCUGAGAGGAUGAUCAGCCACAUUGGGACUGAGACACGGCCCAAACUCCUACGGGAGGCAGCAGUGGGGAAGCUUGCGCAAUGGGCGAAAGCCUGACGCAGCCAUGCCGCGUGAAUGAUGAAGGUCUUAGGAUUGUAAAAUUCUUUCACCGGGGACGCGGUACCCGGAGAAGAAGCCCCGGCUAACUCCGUGCCAGCCGCCGCGGUAAUAC
rnacentral:rRNA from 1 species